GUUAUUCUUCCCUUGAAAGGCUUGUAUCUUGAACUUGAAGUCAUUAAGGUCUCCCUUUGCCUCUUUACGAUGGCCUCCCUAUGUCUCACCAAUAUUGUCGCCACAUGAUCUUGUCUCGUUGCACACUAUUUCGCGUUAGGCAUGACUGCAGUGCUUGCCUCAUUCCUGGCGAUCCAAACGGGUGGUCAUAUUUCCCAAUUGGAC
rnacentral:lncRNA from 1 species